AACCAUAAAACAACAGAUUUUUAUUUGGCAGCUCUGUAAUUGGAUGCUUUUUGGUUCAUUAUAAAUCAGUGAAUCAGAGUUCAGAAGUGCAAUAAGAAGAGAUUCAAAUUAUUUGUACCCUUGUUUUUAGUUUAAUUAAAAAAGUUGUUUAAGAAACAGGAAACUUCUUAUUGGAGCCCAAAUCUCGAAGAGGAUUUGAAAUAUAGCGCAGCACAGCAAUACCAUGAAGUGGUAAAAAUUUGCCACUGAUGUUAAAAUAUACACAUUAAACAAGGAGUAUAUUAUUGCUGCUGUAAACAAAAAAUAAAUGUUUUUAUCCAGAGAUUUUUGGAAAUUAUGAUUAUUGAAAAGAUAACAGAUGAAGAGUUGCAUACAUUUUAAUACUAAUUUCUCUACAGAAUAGAGGUGUUUUAGAAGAAAAUAUCUGUCAUGGAAUGGUACAAAGACGACAGCUGGUCAGCAUUUUGGGAAAAAACUCAUGGAUUCAUCUUGCUGUUGGGACGUAGGAAUUGGCACACUUGCAUCAUGACAAGGCUUUCACAGUGGAGAAAGGAAUAUCGUGAACUUGCAAAUCAGUCUUGCGGUACCAUCUCUCCUCCAGAAGACCUCUCAUGAAGAGAAGAUGGAUGUCCAUGGCAUCUCCCACAACUAGAGGUAUUCAGGUUGAACACUAUCCUUGGAUCAUUACCAUAUUGAAUUAAACCCACCUAAACAUCAUCACACAAAAAAAAAUUAGAUUGUCGUGCGUUCAAAUCAAUUACACAGAAUUAAAAUACCAAAAUUAUUUGUCAAACUGAUGCACAGGAUUAAAGUUCAAAAUGAUCUUGACAGACUGGAGAUAUGGUCUAAAAUAUGGUGAAAUUCAAUAGAGACAAAUACAAAGUGCUGUACUUAGGAAGGAAUAAUCAAUUUCACAGAUACAAAAUGGGAAAUGACUGCCUAUGAAGGAAUUCUGAAGAAAAAGAUCUGAGGGUUAGAGUGGAUCACAAACUAAAUGUGAGUCAACAAUGUAAUACUGUUGCAAAAUAGCGAACAUCAUUCUGGGAUGUAUUAGCAAGAGUGUUGUAAAGCAAGACAGGAGAAGUAAUUCUUGCACUCUACUUGGCACUGAUAAGGCCUCAACUGGAGUAGUGUGUCCAAGUUCUGGGCACCACACUUUGGGAAAGUUGCGGACAAAUGGGAGGCAGCCCACAGGAGAGCAACAACUACUAAAGGUCGAGGAAGCAUGACCUACAAGGAAAGAAUGAAAAUUGGGCUUGUUUAGUCUGGAGAAGAGAAACUGAGAUGCAACAUGAUAACAAUCUUCAAAUAUGUAAAAGGUCAUUAUAAAGAGGAGGGUGAUAAAAUGUUCUUCUUAACCAUUGGAGAGGACAAGAGAAAUGGGUUUAAAUUGCAGCAAGGGAGAUUUAGGUUAGACGUUAGGAAAAAUUUCACAACUGUGAGGGUAAUUAAGCACCGGAACAAAUUGCCUAGGGAGGUUAUGGAAUCUCCAGUCAUUAAAGGUCUUAAAGAUCAUUUAAGAACAGGUUAGACAAAAAACGGUCAGGGAUGGUCUACAGCAGUGGUUCUCAAACUUAUUUGAUCACGCCCCCACUUCGUGUCUGUAAUUGUUUAUGCCCUCCCAUGCCACACAAGUGCAGAGACUGCCACCCACCUCUGAAGGUAGAGCAGAGAGCAGCAGCUGCUGGCCAGCCACCCAGCGCCUAAGGCAACUCUGCGCCAGCAGCAGUGGACAAGUAAGCGUGGCAAUGUAAAAAGUGAUAUUUAUCAAUAUCACUUUUCACAGCAGACUUAGUGCCCCAUUGCCACCCUUACUUCUGCGCUGCUGCUGAGGACUGAGGAGGGGGAGAGGGGAAGGAGAGUCCAAGCUUGGGUGGCAGGUUCUGGCUGUCCCCUUUAUCCCUUCCCCCCACCUCCCGGAUGUGCACGGCCCUUCUGCCUGAGCCCCAGCUACCAGGGGUUGACAGCUGGAGCUUUUUUUUUUUUUUAAACCGGGGGGGGGGGGAAUACAGCUCAACCUCCCUUGACACAUUCCCAUGCCUCCAAAGGGCAUGCCCCAUAGUUUGAGAACCACUGGUCUAGAGAAUACUUAGUCCUGCCUCAGUGCAGAGAACCAGACUCAAUGACCUAUCAAAGUCCCUUCCAGUCCUACAUUUCUAUAAUUCUGUAUAGAAGGUGGUAUAUUUUUCCUUCAUCACAUACAACCCCAAUUAAUAUUAUUGCCCAUGUUUGCAAAGUAAAACAAUGUCACAAACUCUUACAGUAAUUUACAUCUUGUUUCUUUAAUCUACCCUACUCAACAAUAAAUGAA